rnacentral:rRNA from 1 species
UACGGAGGGGGCUAGCGUUGUUCGGAAUUACUGGGCGUAAAGCGCACGUAGGCGGAUCGUUAAGUCGGGGGUGAAAUCCCAGGGCUCAACCCUGGAACUGCCUUCGAUACUGGCGAUCUUCGAGUCCGGGAGAGGUGAGUGGAACUCCGAGUGUAGAGGUGAAAUUCGUAGAUAUUCGGAAGAACACCAGUGGCGAAGGCGGCUCACUGGCCCGGUACUGACGCUGAGGUGCGAAAGCGUGGGGAGCAAACAGG